rnacentral:rRNA from 1 species
UACGUAGGGUGCGAGCGUUAAUCGGAAUACUGGGCGUAAAGCGUGCGCAGGCGGUUUUGUAAGCCAGAUGUGAAAUCCCCGGGCUUAACCUGGGAAUGGCAUUUGGGACUGCAAGGCUUGAGUGCGGCAGAGGAGACUGGAAUUCCUGGUGUAGCAGUGAAAUGCGUAGAUAUCAGGAGGAACACCGAUGCGAAGGCAGGUCUCUGGGCUGACACUGACGCUCAUGC